rnacentral:rRNA from 1 species
CACGUAGGGCGCAAGCGUUGUCCGGAAUUAUUGGGCGUAAAGAGCUCGUAGGCGGCUUGUCACGUCGGGUGUGAAAGCCCGGGGCUUAACCCCCGGGUCUGCAUUCGAUACGGGCUGGCUGGAGUGUGGUAGGGGAGAUCGGAAUUCCUGGUGUAGCGGUGAAAUGCGCAGAUAUCAGGAGGAACACCGGUGGCGAAGGCGGAUCUCUGGGCCAUUACUGACGCUGAGGAGCGAAAGCGUGGGGAGCGAACAGG